rnacentral:tRNA from 1 species
GAUGCGGUCGCCGAGACGGAUUCAGGUGCCCGUCCGCAAGACGGGAGACGUAGGUUCAAUUCCUACCCGCAUCUCCA